rnacentral:tRNA from 1 species
UCUCUGUUGGCGUACUCAUCGGUGAGUGCACCUGUCAUUCGCUCAGGCUGUUACGCGCGAAAGCUGGGUUCGACUCCCAGACAGAGAG